rnacentral:piRNA from 1 species
AAGGAAACCUCUUUCCCGUGCCACUCUAA